CAUGCAACACAAACCAUUCCAGCGUUGUGUGAUUUUAGAAGCUGGACGUGAGCCAGCAGUGUGUGCUGGCAGCCCGGAAGGCCAAGUGUGUUCUGGGCUGCGUUAAGAAAGAGGUGGCCAGCAGGGAGAGGGAGGUGGUUGUCCCCCUCUACUCAGCUCUUGUGAGGCCCCAUCUGGAGUACUGCACCCAGGCCUGGGGCCCUGUAUGAGACCUGUUGAACUGCAACUCCACCUGUGUGACCGGAAGGGGUGGAGCCAGGCUCCACCUCUCCUAAACUCCAUUUAAGGGCUGACUGCCACGGAGGAAGGAUCGCUCUCUGAAGAUCACUCCUCUUGGAGCCCUUUUGGCGAGCCCAGCAUUCACCUCUAUUACUUUGUGCAACAGUCAGCCCCCCAGAAAGCACCAGACUCAACAUUGCUGAGGUAGCAAGGGCAGGGAAAGGGUCAGGGCAGCAAUGAGCUCAUGAUGGCCAAGGUUUGAUUGCCGACUGCUCUGUCACCGAGGUUCGCUGCUUCCCAGCUGUCCCUGCCCCGAGGAGGAGAGGCGGAGUCAGGGCGUGUGAACCGCGGGGCCGUUCGGGCGAGGUGAUACGGUAAGGUACCCAUUCGCGCGACUACACAGGGAGUCGGGUUGUUGUCUCGCUGUGAAGAGAGUGAUUUUCAGGGCAAACCCCGAGCGACUCAGCGAGCAGGCAAGGCGGGGCACCUUGCCAUGUAGGAGGGCGGUUAGCACUUAGCACUGAACAGGUCGUUGCUCUCCGGGCACACCGAGGUGCAACCACGGUCACCACACGGCAGCGAGCUGCUGCUAAAAGGCAUGCAGAGACUGAAAGCACGAGUGUCCGUGCCACAGUUCAGGUCUCAGGCUGCGCAGAAUGCUCGGCCCUGUUGCUGCUACGGGAGGGCAGCUGGGAUACCGCCUGUGAGCGGGUGGAGGAUCUGCCCAGCCUGGUGGUAGAGCUGAAGGAGGAAGUGGAAGGGCUGAGGAGCAUCCGGGACUGUGGGAAGGGGAUUGGUCGGUGGAGCUGCGCUCGGCCGUCCCUACAGGAAGGGUGUGGGGGAGAUGCUUUUCAGGCAGUGGGGGAUCAUCUGCUGUCUCGCAGUCAGGUGGGAACGGGUGACCUCAAAGACAGCGAGGGAUGGAAACAAGUCCCUGCUCGGGGCAACAAGCGGACUGCCCCUCAGCCUGUCCCACCUUCCCAGGUGCCCUUACAAUACCAGGUAUGAGGCUCUGGAGCUAGAGGGACUGGGGGAUGUGGAUGUUGGUGAAAGUCCAUCUGUGCAGGAGAGGUUGCCCAAGGCUGGUCAGUCUGCUCCCCGUUCUGCUACAGUGUCAGUCAGGAAAAAAAGAAGGGCUGUUGUCAUAGGGGACUCCCUUCUGAGGGUAACCGAGGACCCGAUAUGCUGCUUGGAUCCGUCCCGCAGGGAGGUGUGCUGCCUGCCUGGUGCCCGGGUGAGGGGCAUUGCUAGGAACAUCACUCGCCUGGUUAAGCCCUCCGAUUAUUAUCCACUACUGUCUUUCCACAUUGGAAAUGAAGAGAUAGGCAAAAGAAGUCCUCGGGUGAUCAGAAGGGACUUCAGGGGUCUGUGAAGACUUCUGAAGGGAUCUGGCGUGCAAGCAGCGUUUUCCUCUGUCCUCUCAGUUGGUGACUGGGAUCUGGAUAAAAGGAGGAGGGUGCACAUGUUGAAGG
rnacentral:lncRNA from 1 species